UAUUCUUUUGAUUUUUAAAAAAUCAUUUAAAUAUGUAAAAACUUCUAUUUUUUAGUCCUGGAGAGGUGUAGAAACAACUUAUGAGCCAUAUUGCUGAGCCCUACAUUAGAGGUACUUGAGGGGAGUGACACAAUUGGUAAUGAAUAACCAUAUACUCUAUCCUUCAAUAUGGAACACUUUUGGAAGUAAAGUGGGGCAUUAAUAAUUAUAGCCAGAGAACAGGAGUUAAAUCAGUUUAUCCCAGGCAAACCUAAAGGAAUAAUCACCUUAAGGUUAAGGGUUAGGAGAAGUCAAAAUUGCUUUAGGGCUUAGUAACAGAAAAUGGGAGGUGCCAGUGAAGGAAAUAGGAAGAUAAAGAAGAAACUGGUUUUGAGGAGAAGAUAGCUAUAGCAGUCCCAAGAGCCAUAUACAGUUGGAACAACAUUGAUAGGAAAGAAGAAAGCAUCCCAGAAGCAGGCCACUCCUUAUAUCUUAUUGACCAGAACUGGGCUAUUAGCUGUCCCUAAAGCAGUAACAGACAAGGAGCAUGGGACAUCCAUGAUUGCCUAGUGUUUAUCUGACUUUUCUAGUUCUUAUUCAGGACUGUGUUGAGCAUUGCUGGACAUUUACCAUCUCUGAUUCCUUCCAACUAAAUGUCAGUAGCACACCUCAGGCAUUGUGACACUAUAAAGCAACCCUUCUCCGUUCCCACCCCCCAGAGGUGUGCUACUGGUUGAGAACCACUAGCUUAGAACCUCAGGAUUUACUUUGGGGCUGAAUUAUGUGUGUGUAGGUUUCUUUUCCAAUUGGUUUGGAGGGAAGAGAGGAAUUGGACAGUAUUAAAGUUCUGUUGUCAAGGAAGUGAGGUGGGGAAUGUUGGGUAGCUAACCAACAUUGGCUGCCAUGUGAAGUAAAAAGUUUUCCUUUAUACCCUUGAUAAAAUAGUGUCUCGACUUCUUCACACUUGAAGCCUCCCGGAAACCCCAGCUUUUUUGAUUCUCAUUGUAAGCCCCUUGAACUGGACUAAUUGGGAGUUCUUAUUUUCCACUAGUUCCAAGAAAAUGUGGCCAUCUUUAAUCACUACUCCAAUGAUGUUUCAAAUUGUGUGGGCUUCCUUCAGCCAGGGUCUCGGAGACAGGACAAAGUGGAAAAUGGCUCCCUGCUAACCCAUACAUAGGGCCACCAGUGAGUUUACUGACAUGUAAGUUUGGCUCCUGAACAGCCCACCUUCUUCCUCUCCGCUUUUUCUU